rnacentral:rRNA from 1 species
CAGUCGCCGCGGUAAUACGGAGGAUCCAAGCGUUAUCCGGAAUCAUUGGGUUUAAAGGGUCCGUAGGCGGUCUUGUAAGUCAGUUGUGAAAGCCCAUCGCUCAACGGUGGAACGGCCAUUGAUACUGCAGGACUUGAAUUAUUGGGAAGUAACUAGAAUAUGUAGUGUAGCGGUGAAAUGCUUAGAGAUUACAUGGAAUACCAAUUGCGAAGGCAGGUUACUACCAAUUGAUUGACGCUGAUGGACGAAAGCGUGGGUAGCGAACAGGAUUAGAUACCCGUGUAGUCCCUGUCUCUUAUAU